CUCCCAGCCUGCCCAGAUUUCAGGAAGGAAAGAAGAUCUUUUGCUUCUUCGGUCGCUGGGUCGGCUCUCCAGUGUCUGAUGUUUACUGAAAUCUUGAUCGUGGUUAGCCUCCCCCAGGACUUCAUUGUUUGGAAGAUGGUGAGGAACAAAACAAAACCCUAACAAAAGACCCCGGUUCUAUAGGAAGGUCCCCUUUUAGCCCCUCUAUUUUGGUUCCAUUUGUCACUGCCUUGCCACUCGUCGAAGUUUGUCUUGGGCUCUAAAAGUGGUAGCCGGGAACGGCUGGGAAGGUCUCCACAGGGACCACCACAUGGGCAAGGCUGGUGUCCGCGCCGAGGGAUCGGCGAUCCCAGGUCCGGGGAAACUCCGCGAGCGACGCGCUCGCCCGCGGCCUUCCUUGUCGCUCUCGGAUGUUCCCGAUUAAUGGGCUCCAAGUGACCACUGCCAGGUCGGGGAACACAGCGGUAGUUUUUAAGGGGAGUGCACCACAUCGCCUGAUCCACUUUUCUGUUUCUCAGCCUUCGCCAAGCAAUCUGAGCUCCAGGCCGGGAAGCCCCAAGGUCACAAAUUUUAAUGGAGCCCUGAAACUAAACAGAAAUCAUCCCUCCCACUAGAACAAGAGCCCCUAGAGGCCAGCGACACCGCUAAAAUAACAUGUGUAGACCAAUGCCGUCCAGGUAACAGUGCCUGGCAAACACGGUAGAGGUUCAAUAAAUACAUUUUAACUCAACCGUCUUAACUCUUGUAUUUGGGGCUGUGAGGUUCAGAUAGAGGAAAUAUAAAGUUGGAUAUUUUAAUUAGAUUUUGUCCUAAUAGCUUACUUUUUGUAUUUGUUAAUAUAAAAAAAAUUUCCUUUUUGUAAGGCAAAGUUAGGUCUCUUUUCUGCAUGGAGAAAUAACUGAGUUUCAGUAGGCUCUAUCUUAAUUUCCACAGACUUCCUUGGUUUCAUAUCCUAUUUUUGAUAGAGAGAAAAUUAGUAGUGAGAAGUACAGUGAACACUGGUUCCCCAGUCUCCCUCCAAUACAUGAGAUUUGUAUAUUUUCUUUCGAUUGGAAGGAAAUUGUCCAGGAAGUGAUUCCCAACAUGGCAACUGUAAUCUUACCCUAACUAUAAUUAUUUUUUUCUAAUUGCAAAGUACACACAAAUUGUAGAACAUACAAACAUG
rnacentral:lncRNA from 1 species